CAGUAGCCGCGGUAAUACGAAGGUCCCGAGCGUUGUUCGGAAUCACUGGGCGUAAAGGGAGCGUAGGCGGCGUGGUAAGUCAGAUGUGAAAUCCCGGGGCUCAACCCCGGAACUGCAUCCGAUACUGCCGUGCUAGAGGAUUGGAGAGGUAGCUGGAAUUCUUGGUGUAGCAGUGAAAUGCGUGGAGAUCAAGAGGAACACUCGUGGCGAAAGCGAGCUACUGGACGAUAUCUGACGCUGAGGCUCGAAGGCCAGGGUAGCGAAAGGGAUUAGAUACCCCUGUAGUCCCUGUCUCUUAUAC
rnacentral:rRNA from 1 species